AUCUAGACUGAUAGUCCCAAAUAGGACGAAAUGCGCAUCCUGGAU
rnacentral:hammerhead_ribozyme from 1 species